rnacentral:rRNA from 1 species
GUAAUAAUAAGUUUAUUAAUUGUAAACAUGAAUGAAAGAAGAAAUGCAAAAAAAUUUUAUUUAAUUUUAAAUUGUAAAUUAAAAGAAUAAAAAAAAAUUUCUUAAAAUUAGUUAGACGAGAAGACCCUAUAAGCUUUAUAUAUCAGAAUAUUUAUUUGGGGCAAAUUGAAAAAACAUUGUUUAAUCAAAAAACAAAAUAACUCAAAAAUAAGCUACUUUAGGGAUAACAGAACAAUGAAGAAUGACAGACCUAAUGAAAUUCUAAGCUUGUGACCUCGAUGUUGGAUUCUCUCCACACACUCCUGCAGGAAGGAGUAAAGUUAGACUGUUCGUUUUUUAAAAAGAG